UUUAACGGCCGCGGUAUUCUAACCGUGCAAAGGUAGCGUAAUCACUUGUCUUCUAAAUAAAGACCAGUAUGAACGGCUAAAUGAGGACAAGCCUGUCUCCUACGACAAAUCAGUGAAACUGAUCUUCCAGUACAAAAGCUGGAAUAAACACAUAAGACGAGAAGACCCUGUGGAGCUUACAAACACAAGAUCAACAGGCAAACACAAACAAUGACCCUACGUUUUAAGUUGGGGUGACUUCGGAAAAAAACAGAACUUCCGAGAAGGGCCACAACCCCUGCUAAGGAAUACAACCCAAAGCAUCAACAUAAGACCCAGUCAAACUGAUUAACGAACCAAGUUACCCCAGGGAUAACAGCGCUAUCUUCUUCAAGAGUCCAUAUCGACAAGAAGGUUUACGACCUCGAUGUUGGAUCAGGACACCCAAAUGGUGCAGCAGCUAUUAAAGGUUCG
rnacentral:rRNA from 1 species